rnacentral:rRNA from 1 species
UACGUAGGGACCGAGCGUUGUCCGGAAUCAUUGGGCGUAAAGAGCGUGUAGGCGGCCACUUAAGUCCUGCGUGAAAUCUUGCGGCUCAACCGCAAGCGGUCGUGGGAAACUGGGUGGCUAGAGUGCGGGAGAGGAGAGUGGAAUUCCCGGUGUAGCAGUGAAAUGCGUAGAGAUCGGGAGGAACACCAGUGGCGAAGGCGGCUACCUGGACCAGCACUGACACUGAGGCACGAAAGCGUGGGGAGCAAACAGG